rnacentral:rRNA from 1 species
AGUGAACGCUGGCGGUAGGCCUAACACAUGCAAGUCGAACGGCAGCACAGUAAGAGCUUGCUCUUACGGGUGGCGAGUGGCGGACGGGUGAGGAAUACAUCGGAAUCUACUUUUUCGUGGGGGAUAACGUAGGGAAACUUACGCUAAUACCGCAUACGACCUACGGGUGAAAGCAGGGGAUCUUCGGACCUUGCGCGAUUGAAUGAGCCGAUGUCGGAUUAGCUAGUUGGCGGGGUAAAGGCCCACCAAGGCGACGAUCCGUAGCUGAUCUGAGAGGAUGAUCGGCCACACUGGAACGGAGACACGGUCCAGACUCCUACGGGAGGCAGCAGUGGGGAAUAUUGGACAAUGGGCGGAAGCCUGAUCCAGCCAGACCGCGUGUGUGAAGAAGGCCUUCGGGUUGUAAAGCCCUUUUGUUGGGAAAGAAAAGCAGCAGGUUAAUACCCCGCUGUUCUGACGGUACCCAAAGAAUAAGCACCGGCUAACUUCGUG